UGCGUAGGCGGGUCUUUAGGUCAGGGGUGAAAUCCUGGAGCUCAACUCCAGAACUGCCUUUGAUACUGAAGAUCUUGAGUUCGGGAGAGGUGAGUGGAACUGCGAGUGUAGAGGUGAAAUUCGUAGAUAUUCGCAAGAACACCAGUGGCGAAGGCGGCUCACUGGCCCGAUACUGACGCUGAGGCAAGACUGGGGAGGCAAACA
rnacentral:rRNA from 1 species